rnacentral:rRNA from 1 species
GAGAGUUCAACAGGGCGUGAAACCGCUUGGAAGUAAACGGAUGAAGCUGACAUUGUUUCUGCUGGAUUCAGCCGGUCCGACGUACAUUCUUCUGCUCGCUGAUCGCAAGACAGUGGGUGGUUGGCCCUUGAACUAGGACUGGUGCAUUUCCAGUGGAACGCAUCAUGACCGCUGACGACGCUGGCAUAAGGCCGGAUUGUUGCCGGCCGCAGGCUUUCGGGCUUGCGGUGACCCACCUUCCGUGUCCUGUCCGAGUUGGCGUCAGCGGGAACUGGACGUGCCCGGCUUUCUCGUCGCGUGCUUUCUUUUGGCUGAAUGAACUGUCUGGUCGUGCUUGCACGUCCGGGCGACCCUCGGCCUUUUGAUUGUACGUGUUGCGAGGUGGCGCUGAAGGUCUAUGGUGUCCGCGUCAGUCUCCCAUCCGACCCGUCUUGAAACACGGACCAAGGAGUCUAACAUGUGCGCAAGUCAUGGGGUGGAAAACCUAAAGGCGUAAUGAAAGUAAAGGCCGCAAGGCUGAGGUGUGAUGUCCUGUUCAACAGGAUCGCAACACCGCCCCAUCGCAUCGACUUGUUCGAGCGGUGGAGGAAGAGCGUACAUGUUAGGACCCGAAAGAUGGUGAACUAUGCCUGAGCAGGAUGAAGCCAGAGGAAACUCUGGUGGAGGUCCGUAGCGGUUCUGACGUGCAAAUCGAUCGUCAGACUUGGGUAUAGGGGCGAAAGACUAAUCGAACCAUCUAGUAGCUGG